rnacentral:rRNA from 1 species
UACAGAGACGGCAAGCGUUGUUCGGAUUCAUUGGGCGUAAAGGGUUCGCAGGCGGCGAAGCAAGUCUGAUGUGAAAUCCCGCGGCUUAACCGCGGAACUGCAUCGGAAACUGCUUUGCUUGAGGAUGGUAGAGGAGACUGGAAUUCUCGGUGUAGCGGUGAAAUGCGUAGAUAUCGAGAGGAACACCGGUGGCGAAGGCGGGUCUCUGGGCCAUUCCUGACGCUCAGGAACGAAAGCGUGGGGAGCAAACGGG